CCAGAGGAGGGUGUUUGGCUAGAGUUUCACCCUAAGAAGACAGGAGAAGCAGGUAGAAAAGCAAUUUAAAAAAUCAGCAUCUCUCUCUCUCUCUCUCUAGCCUAUUAUUUCCUAUUAGACACAUUCCAGAAAAAUGAAUAGAGACAAGCCCUGGCUUGGUGUGGUUUCAGAAACGUAACAGAAGGAUUAAUCUAAAAUGUCAGCCACUGUGGAGAAAGUGAACCUUCUAGAUCCCGCCAAUUUAUACAAUGAGUUUUGUGUGGACCAUCAGACACAAAGGCUGACUGGUGAAGGUGACUGUUGUCUGGAAAGUUUUCCCAGCUCUCCUCUACUUAUCUCAUAAGGACCGGUGGCCCCUUAGCUUGCUUGCGAUAACAUGCACAGAAAUAUGGGCCAACUCUUCACAUGAGCACAAGAUAUUUCCAUGCUAGCUUUUUGCAAGUAACUGACAACAGAGAGAGCUCUAUGCAGUUUUCACUGGAAUGCCUAUGGAUUACUUGUGCCGUAACUGUAAUCUAAAGAGUUGUCCAUUUGUUGAAUCCUCCCUAUUUGUAUUGGUAGAAUUGGCACUAUCAAACCAAGAUCAUUCUUUGGAAAGAUCUUUAGCUGUCUUUAUAUCAACUUCUCUGGAGCGUAUGUGAUUUUCCAGAAAAUUUCCAAGACGUAAUUUUGUCCCUAAGUCCCAUGAAUAUGUAAUAUUUUGUGUCUCUCUAUUAAAAUAGCACUUUUGUGCAUUGCAUCAACAA